CUGCUCUUUCCCUGUCCAGACGGUGAAGAUGCGCCCUGAGCAUCCCGGCACCUGGCUGCUGCACUGCCACGUCACCGACCACAUUUCAGCUGGAAUGGAGGCCAUGUAUACGGUCACCGAGAAACCAAGAAGAGGACUCUUUGGCUGAACUKCAGAGGAUCCAGACAGAAACUAACCAAACCACGUUUAAUGUUUGUUUUUCUGACUCACUCGCUGAUUUUUUCAUUACAAACUUCCAAUUCAAUGUAAAUAGUGACGGAUAGGAACUGGACACACAAGCAAUCAUGUUCAAAUAAAACUCAUUUUUAAAUAAUUGCUUUUGAUGUAUAUAUAUUUUGAAUGACUGCAAAAAAAAGCCCACAAAAACUACGUUUCCAUUACGAAUGUAACUUUACAUUCAGAUUAGUUAAAUAAAAUUAACAUGUGAAUGUUCACUUUUA